ACAGUCAAACUGUCAUUUUUCCACAUCUUAUGUGUGGCAACCUCCUCUUCUGUAGCAUCAUCCCCUAGAUCUCCAAGAUCAGGGGUUUCAAGUAUAUAGGAAAUUUUCUCCUGAGUGAGUACUAUCUUUAAAUUUCUCAACCAGUCCACAUAGUUUGGAUCGGUCAACUUGUUGGCAUCUAAGAUGCCUCUUAGUGAAAGUGAAGAAGCCAUUUAAUAAUUCUACAUAUGCAAGAACAAAACUAACAUAAGCAGACCAAUC
rnacentral:lncRNA from 1 species